rnacentral:lncRNA from 1 species
UACCUUUCACUACCUGGAAGGAAUGCUUUUAUUUGCAUAGUACUAAGUUCUUCCAUGUAAGAACAUAACAAUUUACUUGACAAAGUAAUUGCAUCAAUAAUAUGACUGCAUCUAUGAAGGAUUUUAUUUUCAUUUCAGUGUGGGACUACAUGAUCUUUGGUACUAAAGAACUAUUACAGAAAAUGCAAACUAGAGAGAUGACUUCUAAUGCUCUCUACCCAUCCCCUCUGAAGAAGAAUGUAGCCUCCUGGGACAGACUGGGAUUGGCAGGGUUUACCUCAGUCUCUAGGCCCUAGAGUCUAGGGACUAUGAUUUACCCUAGAGAAGAGGCUGGAAACUGCAGCAGUAACAAAUGUUUAAAAAACCUUGUUUUCAGAAGAAAAAUAACUCUUUAUACCUCACGUUAUUUUGCCAUACGUUCAAAACACAGGACAAUUGUCUUUCUCUUCCACACCUCUGAGAA